AAAAACUCCGGUGGUAUACGAUGGAUCCGCGUCUGAUUAGCUUGUUGGCGGGGUAAAGGCCCACCAAGGCGACGAUCAGUAGCCGGCCUGAGAGGGUGAACGGCCACAUUGGGACUGAGACACGGCCCAAACUCCUACGGGAGGCAGCAGUGGGGAAUAUUGCACAAUGGGGGAAACCCUGAUGCAGCGACGCCGCGUGAGUGAAGAAGUAUUUCGGUACGUAAAGCUCUAUCAGCAGGGAAGAAAAUGACGGUACCUGACUAAGAAGCCCCGGCUAACUACGUGCCAGCAGCCGCGGUAAUACGUAGGGGGCAAGCGUUAUCCGGAUUUACUGGGUGUAAAGGGAGCGUAGACGGCAGCGCAAGUCUGAAGUGAAAUCCCAUGGCUUAACCAUGGAACUGCUUUGGAAACUGUGCAGCUGGAGUGCAGGAGAGGUAAGCGGAAUUCCUAGUGUAGCGGUGAAAUGCGUAGAUAUUAGGAGGAACACCAGUGGCGAAGGCGGCUUACUGGACUGUAACUGACGUUGAGGCUCGAAAGCGUGGGGAGCAAACAGGAUUAGAUACCCUGGUAGUCCACGCUGUAAACGAUGAUUACUAGGUGUUGGGGGACCAAGGUCCUUCG
rnacentral:rRNA from 1 species